UAGAAGUUUGAACAAGUAUCUUGGAAUGAUUCUAAAGGGAUCAGUCCUGGCUUUCGAUUUGACCUGUAUUGGUCGAAAGAAGAUGUUGAAAAUUAUGAUAUCUCCGACGUGAUCAAAAUCAGCUUUGGUGAUGCGUCACAAAGACUUGUGCUGUUGUUCUUUUAUGAAAGCGAGAUCAAUAAGAAUGAGGAGAAUGUGAAAGUCUGCGAAGAGGACC